CUUACUGGUUUUCCUUGUUCCCCAUUGCUGUAUCUUUCUAUCCACCUGUUAUGCUCCUGCCAGAGACCUGCUAUGUUCCUGAAGUCCCAGCCUGUGUAGUUCCUGUUCUAUGGGAGCUCUCGAGACCUUUGGAGGAAUCUCCCUCGACUCAACCAUCUCACGUUCGUGUGGACAGCAACUUGGUGAUCGUGUUAAUCAAACCAGACAAGCUGAGACUUACAUUAAUUUGUUAGAAACUAAGUCUUUACAGCACGUUCUAUGUCAUGCAAGUUUUAAAGUUUAACCAGCCUUUUAUGUUAGAUCUGUGUCACAUCAACAAAAAUAGAGAAAGUUGCACAUAAAACAUAACCACAAGUAACCUUCUUCCAUUUAGGAUUAAAAAACAAGUGACUUGCAGAGGAAAGUUUGUGAAUGCUGGUCUGUUUUACUGCCAUUUGUAAAGCACACAAGUGUGCUGCCACAACUUUAAACAAGGCCUAAUUCAUAGGUUAGUUAUUUAUGACAUUGUAUCGACCUCUGUGGCAACGAUUGACUUUUCAAAGUCAACCAAGUUGAGAGGCCUUGUGUAUAAUUGGAAGCUAAAAAACAGAGUGGUGGGAUUAAAUGUGAGUUUUAUAUCUUUGGAUGUGUGAUGGGUUUCUUCUCACCUUAGGGAUCUACCCACUAGCAGAAUGAAAAGCUAAGGUGAAAAAUGUGACAUAAUCUGUGCUGUGAUUGGUUUGCUGUGUGAUAUCUUGUUUUCUUGCUCUGGAGACUCAAUCAAUACAACUGAGGGUGAACAAAGCUCACUUUUUCUUUCACUCACAGAAACACAAAUACACACGCACACUCACAAACCUGAUUCUAGCAAGGAGAAAAUGCUGAAACUAGUAAGAAAAGGUUUAACAUGUCUUUUGUAGGCGUUCUCUUCAAGGAGAUGCAGUGGAAAUACUCAUUUACCCUUCACUUGAUUCAAAAGAUGCAGUUCAACAUUUUGUUUUAUAAAUCACUUGCUUUCACCUUUGAGCAUAGGACUAAGUAACCCAUCAGAAAAAUUGACAUCACAGUAAUGGAUGCUUCUUUAACUGAGCAUUUUGAUUCCCAUUUAGAAGAAGAUAGAUUUCUGCGUAUAAAAAGCAAUAUUCAGCAAGUGAAAUGUUAUAACUAUAUAGAGUGAGGGAAAGAGGUAUUAUAGUUGUAAAGAAUAUAUUAAGUUUAUGAGCAAAACUGUCUAUUAACGAAGGGACAAUAUUUUAGAGGAGAAUCAAUAAUUCUUCGGGAGCUGUUAAGAUUAUUGAUCAAAUUAUGACAUUUUCUAUAGAGAUACUGUACAUGUUUUCUUAUGUUGCAAUAUUAUCGCUGAAUGGAGAAGCUAAUGAGUAUUGUAUGGUAAAAUUCGGCUUUUAUGAAGAAUUUUGUGCAUUUCAGUAUAUUAAAUGUCAUUAUAACACCG